rnacentral:rRNA from 1 species
AGAAUCAACGCUGGCGGCGUGCCUAACACAUGCAAGUCGAACGAGAAAGUGGAGCAAUCCAUGAGUAAAGUGGCGCACGGGUGAGUAACACGUGACUAACCUACCCUUGAGUGGGGGAUAACCUAGAGAAAUCUGGGCUAAUACCGCAUAAUACCUUCGGGUCAAAGGAGCAAUUCGCUUAAGGAGGGGGUCGCGGCCGAUUAGUUAGUUGGCGGGGUAAUGGCCCACCAAGACUAUGAUCGGUAUCCGGCCUGAGAGGGCGCACGGACACACUGGAGCUGAAACACGGUCCAGACUCCUACGGGAGGCAGCAGUGGGGAAUUUUGCGCAAUGGGGGAAACCCUGACGCAGCAACGCCGCGUGGAGGAUGAAGUCCCUUGGGACGUAAACUCCUUUCGAUCGGGACGAUUAUGACGGUACCGGAGAAGAAGCCCCGGCUAACUUCGCGCCAGCAGCCGC